ensembl:lncRNA
ACCUUGCAGGUUUUGUGUUCCGCCCCCCCUUUCCUCCUCCUCCCUCCGCCCUCACCGAGGGACGGGCUUGGGGGAGGCCCCGCCCUGCGACUCGGCGAACCAGCUCGAGCUCUGGGCGCGGAGCGGCGGGCCCGCGAGCGAAUGGGAGGCUGCGGACGCCCCGGGAGGGUGACCUCCGAGCCGGCGCCGCCCCCUCCCCAGCCGGAGUCCCGGGGGUUCGGGGGCGCGCUUUCCCAGGCUCUGGUGGAGUCGACCGACAGCAUCGAGCUAUGCUCCGGGUUAGAGAGAAAGGCUAACAGCGGGAUUGGCGCUCCCGGACCUCGGGCUCGGCUGGGCCGUCUGGGGAGGGGGCGCCGUGCGCCCUGGGCGCGCCCCGACUCGGGGGACGGUCGCCGGGCGGGAGGACGUGAGCAGGGGCAACGCCGAUGGUUCGAAAAGAGUCCAGACUUUAUGAAGACCACCCGGAGGAUGAAAUGGAUAUAAGACAUGUAGAAGCUCUUAUGAGGCAGAGACAAAACAGCAUUCAGAGGUAAGAAAUUAGGACUGGAGAAGAUGCACCCAACUUUUCUCAGUAAGCAAAUAUGCUACAUCCCUGUAGCCAACGUGAGCUUGGGUUUCCGGGCCCCUCAUCUCAUUUAAGAGCUGUUUUAAUUAUAAUUGUGCAGCAGAAGAGAAUAGCUGGAAACCACCUCCCCCACCCCCACCCCCCCACACACACUCAUUUGCCAUGGAAAAGUGCAGGACACUGGAGAACUAAUUUGCCCUCUCCAAGUGGCCAGGAUGCCUAGUUACACUUUUAGUCCACCGGUUCCAAGUCCCCCAGGCUCUCCCAACACUCCAGCCCAGAAGGCUUCCCUCCCCCACCGCACUUUCUGUCCCACCCCCUCACAUUUCUAGUCCUCCACCCCACUCUCAACCAGACCCUAAUCCCCUUUAUCUCUAACUGCCUACACCUUCUCCUACCCGUCCCACAGCCCAGCUCCUACUCAGCGGGAGCCUGACCAGAGUCUGGCCUGAUUACCAUCUCUCUACAGAGAGGCGUGGUUUUCCUUUUUCUCUUUUUUUUAAACAAGCGGUUUGUGCCUCUGAAAAUCAAAACAACGCCCAUCGCGGCUCCUCCCUCGCACCCGCAGCUGCGAAGUUUAAAACUUGGUCAACUCAAGUUGCUUUUUGAUUUGGGAGGAUGUUUCCACGGGUGUUUUUCGUUCUCAGCUUUACAGUACGCUUAGGAUUUGUGCACUUUCUGGAGGCGUAUAAAUGAUUCCAUAACAAGAAGGAACAAAACAAAAAACCUUGCCCCGAACACCCCUGCGGACCCUUCACGUCUCGGUCAAUCCAACGUCAGGGAUCCGAAUUCUAGCCGCCAAGUGGGGAAGACUAGGGCUCGGAGGGCACUGACUCCGGAGCGACCUUCGCCCUCUGACCGCGCCCUUUAAACGUGCCGCGUACAGCAGGAAAACGCUGCCCUAGCUCCCAGAGACGCUGGCUCGCCGGCAGCGCCAAGACAGCGAGCGGCCGCAAAUCAGGCAGAUACAAGCCCAGCCCGACCUCGGGUCCUCAGAGCUGCAAGUGCGAGGGGCGGGGCCCAGCCGCCCAUUGGCCCGCGUUGGGGGCGGGGUCACGUCUUCGUCCCGCCCCCAUUCUCCUCCAAGUUAAAUAGGUUUCGCGCCGGCCGGGGGAGUUAUUCACCAUGGGGCGGGGUCGGGGUUUGUUUACACUCUGCUAUUGGCUGGAUUUGAAUCGGCCCGACUGCCGGCUGCGGGGCGGGGCUCCAGAGGGCCCUUGCGGGAGCCUGACAGCUUCAGCAAGGCAGAACCCGCGCCGGACGCGCAGCUGAAGCAUCGGGACCCUGGAGACGAGAGUACCCUGGGCGGGUGCGGGCAGCGGGGGCCGGCAGGUUUGAGCCUUCCGCUGGCUCCUUGAUAAAUGCUAACCAAGGGCGUAGGGACCAUUGUUUUUGUUUCCAUUAAAAUGCAUAAAGAAAAACAAACCCGGAAACAAUCUAGCUGCCCAUGGAUAGGGGACUCAAAUAAGCUGUCAUCUGGCCCAUAGUGGGCUUCCCAGGUGGCGCUAGUGGUGAAGAACCCGCCUCCCAAUGCCAGACACCUAAGAGUCUAGGGUUCGAUCCCUAGGUGGGGAAGAUCCCCUGGAGAAGGAAAUGGCAACCCACUCAAGUAUUCUCGGCUGGAGAAUCCCAUGGACAGAGGAGCCUGGUGGGCUACAGUCCAUGGGGUUGCAAAGAGUCGGACACUACCGAAGCGACUUAGCACGCACGGAGUGGCCCAUAGUGGGACAUAAAGUAAACAUAAAAUGAGGAAGUAAUACAUGAACUGACACGAAAUGAGCUAUGAAUUCAGCUAAGGGGAAAAGACAAUAAAGGAAGCAGAGUGUAUAAUAAUCUAAGGUGGGUGAGAAAAUAUAAGCUUCUGCUUGUUAAACACAGAGUAUCUUCGAAAGCAGAAACAAGCUACUAACUGCAGAUGUCUGUGGAGAGAGAGAGCGAGGUGCAUGUAAGGCAGAUCACUUCGGACCUUUGUAAAGUUAGCAACUUGUAGCACCUAUUCAAAGACAUACGGGGUAAACAAAAAUAUUAAAUUCUGAGAACUCUCCCCACGUAUCUCAUAUCUCGAAGCAACUGCCCCUAGGAAAACUCUUGACUUGACUAUAGAGGCCAUGGACCCCCAAUCUGCGCUCCCUGCAUCCCACAAUGGUAUUGGGGAGUGGGAACGCGUUAGGAAAGAGCUGCUUCACCUACUCAAUGACCAAGAGAUACCCGGAUCCAAUGAAGGGUGGCUUUAUUUAUUAGUAAUCACUGCAGGAUUUAACAUCCCGACUGGGAGGGUGGGGCCGCUUCCUGAGAGAUGCUAAGUGGAGGAUGUGGGGAAGGCCCUCUUGAGAAAGAGAAGUCAAAACUAGGAGAGGCCCCUUUAAGAAGGAAAGCCAGCCUCCUCCGGUAAACGACGCGAGGCUGACGGAACUGACCGGCUGAAGGGAGAGUUGUCCGGAUUUUGACGUUUGUUAUUACUCUCCGUUCCCAGAGAUCUGGAGGCGAGGAUGAGAACGAUUUCCUGCAGCUGAGUUUUGACCUGUUAUGGAUCUUACUUGUAAAGACUUCCUCUGUAUAAGUUCGCUAAAGGAUUUGUGAAACAUUGUUUACAUGGCUGGGAAAGUCACCCAGGCCCGUAGUGAAAACUUGCCGGGCUUAAGCGUAGUUCUAAGGAACGCGCCUAUCCGAGCUGGCGUUGCCGGCCCAGGUACACAGAUAAACUCGGUGAAUGCUCCAAAGAUCCUCCCAGCUUCUAACAGCAACCAGUUUUACGAAUGUGGAAACUGAGUCACAGAGAGGUUAUACAACUGCCCACGUUUGGCGUCACAGCUAUCUGGACCCUGGCAGCUCUGCUCCAAAGUUCAUACUUUAAACGACUAUUUUACACUUGCCCCUAAAAACUGCUUUGUCUUUUGAUGCAUUGUUUUAAAAGCCAUAAAAAGCUUAAUGCAGAUUCUUAAGGACGGUUAACUAUUUCUACGCUUUCUGUUGUAAAGGAGUUUUGUGAUUUUUUUUUAUUAUUAUUGAAGUAUAGCUGAUUUACAACUCAUGUAAGUUUCAUGAGUACAGCAAAGUGACUUGACAUAUAUUUUUCUUCGUUUUCAGAUUCUGAUCCCUUAAAGGUUGUUAUAAAAUACUGAGUAUAGUUCCCUGUACAAUACAGUAGGUCCCUGUUGGUUAUCUACUUCAUGUAUUGUGGCGUGUAUAUGUUAAUCCCAAACUCCUAGUUUAUCCCUACCUCCCCUUUCCCUUUGGUAAUCACAAGUUUGUUUUCUUUGUCUCUUUCUAUUUUGUCAGUAAGUUCAUUUGUUUUGGGUUUUGUUUGUUUUCUUUUUGAUUCCACAUAAAAGCCAUAUCAUAUGACAUUGUCUUUGGCUCGCUUCACUUAGUAUGAUCCUCUCUAGGUCGAUGUCACUGUAAAUAGCGUUAUUUCAUUCUUUUUUAUGGUUGAGUAAUAUUCUUGUGAAUUUUUUUUAAAUAAAAUAAUUUCUGAUGUUUUUUCCCCUAAAAUUAUAUAUCAGGGCAAGAUUUUUAAUUUAAAUUUUUCCUUCCUCAAUCUUUUUUUUUCAAGUACCUUUCACGAGGAAACAUUUUGCCCUCAGCCUUCCUACUCCUCUCACCAUUGAAUACUUCCCUAAUGAUUACCAUGGGCCAGGCACCACUUCUAACUCACUGAAUUGUUACAACAACCCUGAGGUCAAAAUGGUUAGCGGUCUCACUUCACAGAUGAAGAAACCAAAGCACAGAAGUUACAUAACUGGCCCGAGGUCACACAUCUCUCUCUAGAAAAAGAAGAGGAAGACCAGGAAUGGGUAGAUCAUGGCAGGAGAGAGAAGGUAUGCAAAGUUACUAAGAGACAGAAAAAAUGGGAAUUAAGCCUGUGGCUAAGCAACAAGUUCCCACUGUAUAGCACAGGAAAUUAUAUUCAGUGAAGUGAAGUGAAAGUUGUUCAGUCGUGUCCAACUCUUUGUGACCCCAUGGACUAUACAAUUCUUGGAAUUCUCCAGGCCAGAAUACUGGAGUGGGUAGUCUUUCCCUUCUCCAGGAGAUCUUCCCAAUCCAGGAAUCGAACCCAGGUCUUCUUCAUUGCAGGCGGAUUCUUUACCAGCUGAGCCACAAGGGAAGCCUAGUUAUAUUCAAUAUCAUGUAAUAAACCAUAAACAUUUUUUAAAAAAGUUAAAACCAAGGGACUUCCCUGGCAGUCCAGUGGUUAAAACUCUACACUCUCAAUGCAGGAGGCACAGGUUCAGAUUCCCUGGUUGGGGAACUAAGAUCACAUAUGCCACGGGUGGUGCAGCCAGAAAAAUAAAGAAAUAAAGGGUGGGGGGAAAGGUGGGGCCCUUUAACAGAGAGAGAGAGAGAGAGAUAAGCCAGUGGAUUUGUGAAUACAGGGGAAAUGGCUUUAGAGAGGUGGUAGGAGCUAAGGUCAGUUUGCAAAAGAUAAUGACCAAGAAGCACAUGAAAAGAUACUCAAAGUUAUUAGUCAUUGUGUGUGUGCUCAGUCGUAUCCGACUCUUUGUGGUCCCAUCAGCUGUUGCCUGCUCUGUCCAUGGAAUUUUCUAGGCAAGAAUACUGGAGUGGGUUGCCACUUCCUACUCCAGGGGAUCUUCCCAACUUAGGGAUCUCCUGCAUCUCCUGCAUUGGCAGGCGGGUUCUUUACCACUGCGUCAUCUGGGAAGCUAUUAGUCAUUGGGGAAAUGCAAGUCAAAACCACAAUGAGGUGCCCCUUCAACGUCAUUAGAAGGGCUAUAAUCCAAAAAACGGACGAUAUCAAAUGAUAGGAAGGAUGUGGGGGAAUGAGAAUCCUCAUACAGUGCUG